GAUGAACGCUGGCGGCGUGCCUAAUACAUGCAAGUCGAACGAAACUUCUUUAUCACCGAGUGCUUGCACUCACCGAUAAAGAGUUGAGUGGCGAACGGGUGAGUAACACGUGGGCAACCUGCCCAAAAGAGGGGGAUAACACUUGGAAACAGGUGCUAAUACCGCAUAUCCAUAGUUACCGCAUGGUAACUAUGUAAAAGGUGGCUAUACUACCGCUUUUGGAUGGGCCCGCGGCGCAUUAGCUAGUUGGUAGGGUAAAGGCUUACCAAGGCAAUGAUGCGUAGCCGAAUUGAGAGGUUGAUCGGCCACAUUGGGACUGAGACACGGCCCAAACUCCUACGGGAGGCAGCAGUAGGGAAUCUUCCACAAUGGGCGAAAGCCUGAUGGAGCAACGCCGCGUGGGUGAAGAAGGUCUUCGGAUCGUAAAACCCUGUUGUUAGAGAAGAAAGUGCGUGAGAGUAACUGUUCACGUUUCGACGGUAUCUAACCAGAAAGCCACGGCUAACUACGUG
rnacentral:rRNA from 1 species